CCUACGGGUGGCAGCAGUGGGGAAUAUUGCACAAUGGGGGAAACCCUGAUGCAGCGACGCCGCGUGAGUGAAGAAGGACUUCGGUACGUAAAGCUCUAUCAGCAGGGAAGAAAAUGACGGUACCUGGCAAAGAAGCCCCGGCUAACUACGUGCCAGCAGCCGCGGUAAUACGUAGGGGGCAAGCGUUGUGCGGAUUUACUGGGCGUAAAGGGAGCGUAGGCGGCAGCGGAAGUCUGGGGUGAAAUGCCAUGGCUUAACCAUGGAACUGCUAUGGUAACUGUGUAGCUGGAGUGCAGGAGAGGUAAGCGGAAUACCUAGUGUAGCGGUGAAAUGCGUAGAUAUUAGGUGGAACACCAGUGGCGAAGGCGGCUUACUGGCCUGUAACUGACGUUGAGGCUCGAAAGCGUGGGGAGCAAACAGGAUUAGAUACCCGAGUAGUC
rnacentral:rRNA from 1 species